UACGUAGGUGGCAAGCGUUGUUCGGAAUUAUUGGGCGUAAAGGGCGCGUAGGCGGCCACCGCAAGUCACUUGUGAAAUCUCCGGGCUUAACCCGGAAAGGUCAACUGAUACUGCGGGGCUAGAGUGCAGAAGGGGCAACUGGAAUUCUCGGUGUAGCGGUGAAAUGCGUAGAUAUCUGGAGGAACACCGGUGGCGAAGGCGGCAUCCUGGACCGGUAUUGACGCUGAGGCGCGAAAGCCAGGGGAGCAAACGGG
rnacentral:rRNA from 1 species